rnacentral:rRNA from 1 species
UACGUAGGGAGCAAGCGUUGUCCGGAAUCAUUGGGCGUAAAGCGCGCGUAGGUGGCCACAUAAGUCCGUUGUGAAAGUCAAAGGCUCAACCUUUGAAAGCCGAUGGAUACUGUGUGGCUAGAGUACGGAAGAGGCGAGUGGAAUUCCUGGUGUAGCGGUGGAAUGCGCAGAUAUCAGGAGGAACACCAAUAGCGAAGGCAGCUCGCUGGGACGUUACUGACGCUGAGACGCGAAAGCGUGGGGAGCGAACAGG